AUUGAACGCUGGCGGCAUGCCUUACACAUGCAAGUCGAACGGUAACGGGCCUUCGGGUGCCGACGAGUGGCGAACGGGUGAGUAAUGUAUCGGAACGUACCUUUCAGUGGGGGAUAACGUAGCGAAAGUUACGCUAAUACCGCAUAUUCUGUGCGCAGGAAAGCAGGGGAUCGCAAGACCUUGCGCUGAUUGAGCGGCCGAUAUCAGAUUAGCUAGUUGGUGAGGGAAAGGCUCACCAAGGCCACGAUCUGUAGCGGGUCUGAGAGGAUGAUCCGCCACACUGGAACUGAGACACGGUCCAGACUCCUACGGGAGGCAGCAGUGGGGAAUUUUGGACAAUGGGGGCAACCCUGAUCCAGCCAUGCCGCGUGAGUGAAGAAGGCCUUCGGGUUGUAAAGCUCUUUCGGCCGGGAAGAAAUCGUAUCAGCUAAUACCUGGUGCGGAUGACGGUACCGGCAUAAGAAGCACCGGCUAACUACGUGCCAGCCGCCGCGGUAACAC
rnacentral:rRNA from 1 species